rnacentral:rRNA from 1 species
UACGUAGGGACCAAACGUUGUUCGGAUUUACUGGGCGUAAAGGGCGCGUAGGCGGCGUGGUAAGUCACUUGUGAAAUCUCUGAGCUUAACUCAGAACGGUCAAGUGAUACUGCUGUGCUAGAGUGCGGAAGGGGCAAUCGGAAUUCUUGGUGUAGCGGUGAAUGCGUAGAUAUCAAGAGGAACACCUGAGGUGAAGACGGGUUGCUGGGCCGACACUGACGCUGAUGCGCGAAAGCCAGGGGAGCAAACGGG